CCCAAACCCCAGUGUGAACCUCUACCGCAACGUUGCCUCGGCGGGACUCGCCCCGGCGCGCCCUCUACUGGGCGCCCGGACACCACGGCGCCCGCCGCAGGAACCCCCAAACUCUCUUGCAUCUCCAGCAUCGUUUUCUUCUGAGUGGUGGCCUUUUUCCCGCGAGAGCGGGAGGAAAUGAAUCAAAACUUUCAACAACGGAUCUCUUGGCUCUGGCAUCGAUGAAGAACGCAGCGAAAUGCGAUAAGUAAUGUGAAUUGCAGAAUUCAGUGAAUCAUCGAAUCUUUGAACGCACAUUGCGCCCGCCAGUAUUCUGGCGGGCAUGCCUGUCCGAGCGUCAUUUCGACCCUCAGGCCCAGGAGUCCCUCUGAUCUCCCCUGGAAGCAGGGGGGCUUACGGGUUCCCCGGGCCUGGCGUUGGGGGACGGCACCGCGGGGUGAAGCGAAGCCAACCCCGCCGCCGCCCCCGAAAUGCAGUGGCGGCCUCGUCGCAGCGACCUCCGCGUAGUAGCACAAACCUCGCGGCCUGGGAGCUAGGCGCGGCCACGCCGUAAAACACCCCCCACGCGACUCGCACCAAGAGUUGACCUCGGAUCAGGUAGGAAUACCCGCUGAACUUAA
rnacentral:rRNA from 1 species